AUGACACAGGCGUUUGUUGUCGGAGUUGUGCGCUUUCAAAAACGGACACUAAUUGCUCAUUUGCUUCUCUUGCUUGUGGGAAACAAAACUGUUGGUUCCACAGAGGAAUCUGAGCCACCAAACACAAGAACCGACCCCACGUCACCGGAUGAACUAACGCCCCAGCAACAUUCCUUCACCACAGGUUUUCACUGUAUUUCACUACUGCCCCCAGAGUCGACUGGGCCGCGUUGAUAUUAGUGGACUGAAACGGUACAUACAUGUGUAAUGAGCUGUAAUACUGUUAUGAGACAAGUAAAUGUGCAGUCUUUUGUUUGCAGUGUGGCCGGUGCACAAUCAGCAUGAAAGCAAUGAGCCAGCUGAUGUCCCUGCAGGAGGACGUCGGGCCUCCGCGGCCCCAGAACGCUCACAUUUGCCUCCACACGUUCUGACUGCAGCUCAUCUCUCGUCGCUCCGACGUCUGGUGUCGCAUGAGAAAAUAACAGGUUGCAGAGUUUGAAUGCAGCUCACUAAUUAUUCACUCAUGAAAUCAUAAAAUAUUACAGCACUGCUCGAAGUGUUGGGAAACAAGGCGCAUGAGGAGAACUGUCCAAAGGAGGCUGAAAUAUGAGCAUUUAAAACUACUUUGAGUGCAUUCUGUCUCUGUGACCCACACGGGUUAAUCAAUGUCAUAUGAGCAUGAGUAAACAUGUAGGUCACAUGAUCUGUGAGUCAUGAUUCCAGAUGAUCACACGCUUGGAUCCAGGCUUGUUUCCAGCUUUUCUAACGUGAUUUGCGAAGGUUUGUCUAAAUGUCGUUGACACAUGCGACGUCUGCUGUUGAUCGCCUCUUUGUACAGACUGGUUUCCAACAAGAUGCCAUAAAUACAGGCAGCCAUCAUGCUGUUGGUAUUAACGCACCGUCAGGCGUGGCAACAACGAACCCAGUGCUUAGCAGAGCGUCUCGUGUUUGACAGUUACUGUAGUUAGUUUGCUGUUUACUAAACAGCCCCGAGCGUUUACUGGUGAGCUGUACCAAGUAACAAUACUACCAUAAUACAAUAAGAGUAACGCAUAAAAAUAAUCCAGAUCUGGAUUGCUCUUUACGGGGAGGGUCAGACCUUGAACCAUAAGAUGGCAGCAAAAGACUGGCUUUGCCUCCUGUCUGAUAUGUAAUAAAAGAAUCAAUUUUACCU
rnacentral:lncRNA from 1 species